GGUUGAGGUUUGCAUGUGGAGAUGUAGACUGCUGUCUAUUGCCAUCGUGCGGUCAUUGCUGAAGUUGGUAUAACAAGAGAAGCAAGCGGUUGGCAACAUUCAUCUCUGGAGGUGGUGUCUAACUCAGUGUUACGAUGUGUUUGACCAUAACUUAAAUGUAUUUUGGAUUAUCCCUUUCAAUUUGUUAAACUUUGUCUCUUAUUUUUACCAUGGUCUAACAUCUUCCCCUGAAAUAACAGUUGUGUUUUAUGUCUGCCUUUUCGGUGGAGAAAGAGAACAUGGGCAAGUACCCUUAUAAAAAAGGAAAAAAAACAUGAAUUUAACCGAAAAAAAAAAGUCCAAAAAGUUGCUCUACAGGUUAGGAGCAGCUAUUCCAAAGGUUUGAUUGCCUUGAAAGACUAUAUACUACUUUUUCUUUUUUUUAAAGGGACAAUAUUUCAUCAACAGGUGGUAAGUUUUAACUAAUACAAAGCUUAGUCAGACUUUAUGGGGCUACUCUGUAUUAAAAUGUUUGUGAUGAGGAGGAUACAGAAUACAGCACUGCCAUCUAGAGGACCUAAACACACCCAAAUCCAACUGCUGCUCCCUGAGUGCCAGAUGGUAUCAACACGCCUUGAGGAAAGGUGUGUAUGUGCUAGUCCUUAACUGUGGGUCUGCAUACUCUUGUUGAACAGUGUUAUAGAAACCAACCCUGCCAAACAGCAGAGCUCAUUUAGCAGCCAGCAGCAGCAUUAAUUGGCAGGAAUUAAAACAGUAUGCUCUCCCCCUCACCACACAUUGGUGUUCAGAUCUGUGUCCAAGCCUUAAACAAAAGCAGCGUGUACCAGACCAAGGGAAGGCCUUAUUAGACCCAGCCCUGCCCAGUACGCGCUUCUGUAAGUGCUGUCAGAUGCUAAUAAACUUGUACUGAAUUAGGGGCAACCACAGUAGGGGAUGAACCUGAGAUGUCUAGAGUUGCUGAGUGGAGAGUCAAGACCACUGGAAUUUACAUUGAGUGAUUAUGUCGUUUUAACACUGUUCAUGUGUCUAUUCAUGUUUCUUGAUGUUUGUCUGACUGAUUGAAUUAAAAGAUCCUGUCCUGUCUGGCUGCUUUGAGCUACAUUAGCAUGUUUUUAACUGGUUGUGCUGGAAGGUGCUGGCUGUAGGAGUAGGCUUUGGUCUACAGCUCAGGUGGAAGUCGAGGCUAGUUAGCUUUUAAUGAUGCUGCUGCCAAGCUAGUAACGUCUUUGAGAGACGAUUAUGCCAAUUUAUCACUUAAGGUAACUGAGGCAAAUUGUUGCUUUUGACAGGUCAAGCAGUUUGCUAAUGACUCUAGCCUGUUCAUACUUUGGUGUUUUUACUAGCUAAGAGUAAAGAUUGUUUUAGGGUGUAGGUGCAACUGUAAAGAGGCUUGCCAUAGCUUUUAAACAGAAUCUUUAAGGCCUCUCGUUAUAAUUACUACUGAAUAUUUCACUUUGAAAUAUCACACCCUUGCUUAAAAUAAGCCAAGUAAGAAGUGGCCGAAGAAAAAUGGCUGAAAACAACUGUAAGGUUGAUAUUUUAUACAGUAUCUCAGUCUCCAGUAUGAUAUAGCUUAAAGCAUCGAAAAAUGAGCAAAAGGCAAUAUAAAUUUUUGGUCAUUUCAAUCAUUUAUUUUCAUCCCCUAACAUUACCAGCUCCAGAACUUGAAGUCAGCAUUGAUCAGUGUCCACACCUUGAGUUUUUAGGCUUGUAACUUUCAGUCUGAUCACUCAGAUCUGAAAAAGAUGGGAGGCAUAACCACAGUGAUGAUCAUCAGUCACACUGUUGUGAUAGUGGAAUAUUUAGUCAAAACUCUAAAUAGUCAAAGUUGCUCUUUAAAUCUGUUGAACAUAAUUCAAAGAUGCACAUUUGUAAAAAUAUAUUGGUAUUUUGUGGCUAGUCUCGUAGUGUUUGAUUUAUAAAAGGUCACAGGUGUGUGUGUGUGUGUGUGUGUGUGUGUGUGUGUGUGUGUGUGUGUGUGUGUGUGUGUGUGCGCGCGUGUGCAUGUGCGCGCACGCGUGUGUGUGUAUACAGCUGUGAAUCCUAUUACAGAUCCAUGAAAAUGUCCUUUAGAGGUCAGUGUGUGUGUCCUACUACAGUGGUGCACACCAUGGUGGUCUGGUCUUAUUGGCAUUUUUCUGCAACACACACCAAGACACACCCACAGUCUGAUAGAUGUAACAGUGGUCUCCCUCACUGCCGGGUCCUUCUUCCUGCGCUAACCCAUAAACACAUACAAGUGCACACACACACACAAACACACAGUUGUACACAAACAGUGUAUUGAUUUAACCACUGGCUUACUCUGAACAGAUGAACAAAAUAAUAUGAGAAACUUGUCCGUGUGAAUGUGUGCCGUUGUGUCACUGUGUGUGUGCACGUAGUCGCACGUGAGGUGCCAGAGGUAUUGGGAAAUCUAUGGAGGAGGCGCCUGUAGAAAGAGGCAGGAAAUUGAACCAGUUGAACCAGUUGACAGAAGAAUCCCCUUAAGGCUGGUUUUCAGUCAUUAAGGCCAUUUAGCUCAUCAACCUGCUCCACCAAAAACCAAGAGCUGAGCUGCCAUGUCUUUGUUUCCUUAGUCACUUGUAUUAGUAGAUAAAAUGAUGACAAAUUUCGAUGGCACCAUUACAGUCGGAGUUACAUCAAAGUUUUUACAAUUAUCAUUUAUCAUCAUUAAUGCAUUCAUUUAUUUCACUGAAGCACUUGAUCAGUCCAUGUCACCAGUUCUUCAACUGAAACUAGUCUUGUGUUUUGGUUUCUCUAUUGCGUGCAUUAAAACUAUGCUUUCAUUUCAAAGGAUACCAUUAUUUGUGGAUUUUAAGUUGCAGAACUGAACAGAAAAAAUUGAAGAAUUGUUCUUAUUAUAACAUAUUCAUGUUCAAUUAACUAGUAACCUCAAGGGGCACAAAAAGAUCUUGCAUUAUUUGUGGAUUCACAAUAAAUCAAAUUUAAAAAUUGCCUAAUCUUCCUUUAAAGGGCUGUUAAAGCUAGCUCGCUAAAAGCUGCUGCUUUUUUACUUCUCUGUCCUCUAUUUUAUGUCAUUGUGUUAUAUUUACUUGGUCAAUUAUACAUAAAUCUAUGCAUUCUAUCAAUAACAUCCCUACACAUGUUUUGAAUACACACGCACACACACACAGACACACAUGCAUACACACACCACACUCAAUAAAACACAUUAAGGGGAGGGGAAUGAAGAGGGAAAGGGAAAGAGAGGGAAAAAAAAAAGAAAAUGUGCAUAUGUAUAUGUGUGUGUGUAUGGUAUGGUGUGUAUGUAUGGUCCCCCCGGGUCAUUGAUGUAGCGGUGAUGGUGUAAUGAUGAUGAUGGUGUUGGUGGUGACGGUAGUGGUGUGCCGGUGGUGGUGGUGAUGGUGGAUUGGUGAUCGUGAUGAUGAUGAUGGUAAUGGCAGGGGGGUGGCGAUUGCUGUGGGGAUGUGGAAUGGCAGGGAUCGUUGUGGUGUGCGGCGGUGUGGUCUGGGC